rnacentral:tRNA from 1 species
GCGGACGUGGUGGAAUUGGUAGACACACUGGAUUUAGGUUCCAGCGCCGCAAGGCGUGAGAGUUCGAGCCUCUCCGUCCGCACCA